rfam:Ciona savignyi cont_5933, whole genome shotgun sequence.
GGCAGGAUGGCCGAGUGGUCUAAGGCGCUGCGUUCAGGUCGCAGUCUCCCCUGGAGGCGAGGGUUCGAAUCCCGCUCCUGUUA